rnacentral:tRNA from 113 species
GCUGCUGUAGCUCAGUGGUAGAGCGCACCCUUGGUAAGGGUGAGGUCGGGAGUUCAAUCCUCCCCAGCAGCACCA